rnacentral:lncRNA from 1 species
GUUUUAAUUAAUUAUAAUUAUUAAAUUUGAUAAAAAAAUUGAGAGAAUGGUUUAAAUUUUUAAAUUUUGAUUUACAUAUUAAAAUUAAAUAAAUUAAAAAUUUUAAAUGUGUCAAUUGAUAAGUUGAAGAAUUAUUGAAAAAUAUAAAAAUAUUAUAUAUAUCCACUUAUUUAUUUAUAGAUAGUAAGUAAAUUUAAAUGAUUAAUAAAAUUAUACAAUUAUUUUAUGUAUAGUGAAGGUAAUCUCACCACUUUAUCUAAAGAGGUGAUAAGAUUCACAAAUACAACUAUCAGCUUCAAAUUAUCAAACAGAAGAAAUGCAACUGCAACAAUUGCAUCUACAUAAAACCAAAUAAACUAUAUGUAAUUAAUUAAUUACAACUAUAUCCAACCAAACAGCCCCUAAAUGUACUACUUAAAGUACCAC